rnacentral:lncRNA from 1 species
NUUCAUGAUCAAACUCUAUUCCCAAAAAGUUGAAUAUCGACCUAUAACAAAAUUUGAAGAACUAGAAGAGGAAAAUGAGGAUGACGUUGAGGCGCAGAAGAAAGGGAAAUUCGAGGAGCCCAAGAGUACUUUCCUACAAAUGGGAAAAUCAUUUGCUCCCAUGGACAUUGAAAGGUAGGUAAAAAGGGGUGGUAAUUGUGUACAAAUAUUAGAUUUGGUGGGAAUUCGGUUUGUUCAAUUAAGACAAGAAUAAUGUUGGCUUAGUGAAACAAAUCUUAUGUCUCGUAGGAACAAUAGAAUGUAAAGAAAAAAGUGUUUUUUUUUUUUUAUUUAUUUAUUUAGUUUCAACCUUUUGUGCAUGUAUGAAUGCAGAAAAGUGAUUAAUUAAAGGAGCUUUUUUCUUAAUUCUUUUUCUCUCUGUCGACGUGGGAAAAGAUUGACAUCUUUCCUUGAAAACUACAGAAUUAUGAAGUUGUAUUUAUUUGAUUUGAUUGUUGAUAUUGAUUUGGUUAUCGAUGA